rnacentral:rRNA from 1 species
UACGAAGGGGGCUAGCGUUGUUCGGAAUUACUGGGCGUAAAGCGCACGUAGGCGGAUUGUUAAGUGAGGGGUGAAAUCCCAGGGCUCAACCCUGGAACUGCCUUUCAUACUGGCAAUCUCGAGUCCGAGAGAGGUGAGUGGAAUUCCGAGUGUAGAGGUGAAAUUCGUAGAUAUUCGGAGGAACACCAGUGGCGAAGGCGGCUCACUGGCUCGGUACUGACGCUGAGGCGCGAAAGCGUGGGGAGCAAACAGG